UACCAAGGUGAUAACGGGUAACGGGGAAUCAGGGUUCGAUUCCGGAGAGGGAGCCUGAGAAACGGCUACCACAUCCAAGGACGGCAGCAGGCGCGCAAAUUACCCAAUCCAGACACUGGGAGGUGGUGACGAGAAAUACCAGGUCGGUCCCAAAAGGAUUCGACACUGGAAUGAGUUUAAUUUAAAAAUUUAAACGAGAAACAACUGGAGGGCAAGUCUGGUGCCAGCAGCCGCGGUAAUUCCAGCUCCAGUAGUGUAUCCAAACGUUGCUGCGGUUAAAACGCUCGUAGUUGGACAAGAGAGUAACUUGGUGCGGGCGGGGAGUGUGAAGCUCUAUGUGUUUGCCUGUUGUGGUUGGUGUUGCUUGUAUUGUGUAAAAGCUUUAUGAGUGCAUUGGCCCUUCAGGAUGUAGCAUAGUAGUGCACUUCUCGACCAUGCUGCCAGGUUGCUUGUAAUGUUUCGUGAGAAUGGUGCAUGGUCUUUAUUGUAUUGUGUACUGUGUCUUACGUAGUGUGCCUUGAAUAAAUCAGAGUGCUCAAAGCAAGCUAUCGCUUGAAUGUUAAUAGCAUGGAACGAAUGUGUUGUGAGAGUGUGCUAGUGACUGGGCUUCGUGCAUGGUCCUAGUGCAUAGCACCAACCGCGAAGCGGAACAUUGGUUGCCGACUUCGGGUGAGGAUUAAGAGGGGCAUUUGGGGGCAUUAGUAUUUGGCCGCGAGAGGUGAAAUUCUUGGACCGGCCAAGGACUAACAAGUGCGAAAGCAUUUGCCAAGUAUGUUCCCUUUAAUCAAGA
rnacentral:rRNA from 1 species